CCUAAUCCACAAGAUGUUCCUUCAGUUAUAUAUACAGCCUUUAUUUAAUCAGGUCGUCUCACUGAGAUCAGACCGACUUGAGUACAGCAGGUAGAGAGAAACACAAGCUAAAGGACAUACAGCAUCAGAGACAGUCGCAGAUUUUUUUCAAAAGCUUAAUUGCCUGACUGGUGGUGCUGCUGCGUUUCGAUAACACUUUCUUACCAGGAAAACGCUUGUUUGUGUCCAGGGAUUUCCCAUGAGAGUCAGAUAGCAGGACCACUUGUGGGGCUUCCUCUUCAGGCUGAGUGGAGCGAAGCUGGGAUGGGCAGAGCUGGCUGUGUGGAUGUAUCAGCAGGUGCCAGGGUGCAGAGCAGAGUGGGUGGGACAGAGACAAGGCAGGGAGAGUCUGUGUCUCAGUACUUGUCAUUGUGGUGACUGAUGAGAGUUGGUCUGUUAGGUGUUGAACUUGCCUGGUGAAGCUCCUUUCUCUAUUCUCAGCAUCCUCCUUCACUUUGGCUAACUGAGCACACUGUUCUUCUGUUUGAGUGCCUCUAGACUUCCUCUGAGGUCAGAUGCCAAGCCCUGGUUGUCUCUCUUUAGCUGCUGGAGCUCCUCUUUAAGCUGCUUUAGAGUGUUUCUGGGUGGUCAGACAGCCUGGCUUGGGUCAGCUCUUUGAAUUCAGCAAAGUCCAGCUUUUUUUCUUUCAUAUUAUAUCAUAAAAAUUACACUGAAAUCCACUGUAUGUGUCUAGAGUUGUGUACUUUUUUAUUAAACCACUAGGAUAGUUAUUCUUGAUAUAUCCCACUUUUUAACCAUCAGUAUGCGCUCGACAGCAGUGCAACAUACAAUGACGAACUGACCCUGAACAAACGAAAAACUUGGACUAAAUACACUUAGGUAGGGGCAACACUGAGACACAGGUUCAACUAAUCAGGGUGGGGCAAACAAUCAAAACUGGAGGGAAAAGCAAACAAAGACAUGAAGUAAAACAACAAGACACACGAGGAGAGGAGAACACUUCAAAAUAAAACAGGAAAUAACAGGAAAAAAGCCAAAACCAUGACACAUAGCUCUCCAUUAUAACGUCCUGUUAGGUUGACUGAAGUAGGCGGCACGCGAUCACUCCAUUUUGUGCAGAAGAAAAGUCAAAUGAUGCGUCAAACGCCCCCUUUUAUGUAAACGUGCACAGAGCCUGAUGAAGAAAACCUGGUUAACAAAGAAAGAUGAUCACCACCGUCGGGAUACCCGUUAUCUCUGAUUUGGGAUUUAGGUUUUGUCGAGCCAGCUAAAGCAAAGGAAGCCUGGCUCUGUCGAACUUGCUUUGUAGUACACCCCUCAGGUGUGAGCGUGAUUAUGAAAAUAAAGAGAUGUUUCGAUUGCUUCACUACCUACUGGCUCCCGUGGGUGAUUGGCUACCUUUGAAUAACGGCUCACCAGUGGAAGCUCACCAAUAGAGGGCACUAGGGCCACGUUGUUCAAAUAUUCAUUCUCAGUUAACUUGUAAUCUUUCUGAUGAGAAAUAUUAAAGGGGCCGUAGCAUGGUCACAACAAUUAGCAGCUUUUAUAUGUUAUGGAACAAAGUGACUCAAAGGAAAGGAAACAUGUCAGCUGACAUUUCCACUGACGCCUACAUACAAGACAUGUUAUACUAGGAAAGGAGAGUGUCAGUAAAAUGUGCUGAGUGUAAAGCUGUCAGUCGGGGAAUAACACAGGGCUGUGAAUGAACCCUGUCACUGUGAUCAGGCUCCUCCUUCUGAUCCACCAACUUAGUGUUGAUGAAGACUCAACAGAGAUCACAGCCUUCUUUAUACUCGCUGUAGCUCACAGUUACUCAACACUGCAGACAUGACGCCUCUGUUCAUCUCGGUGUUGCUGGCUGCUGUGUGCCUUGAAUGCAGAGCACAAAAAGACAACGUGCUGCAAGCAAAAGAAGAUGUGACUGCUACUGAAGGAGAGGCAGUAACACUUGGCUGUCAAUAUAACAGCAGUUCAACAAGUAAUAAUCUCUUCUGGUACAAACAGGAUGGAGACAACAGCCCCACAUUCAUACUGAGCCGCUUUAAACUGGACGAAGGCAACACACCAGACGAGUUUAAGGAGAGAUUUUCAUCCACACUGGAUUCCACCUUAAGAUCAGUUCCUCUGAAGAUCCAGAAGCUUCAGCUGUCUGACUCUGCUGUGUACUACUGUGCUGUGCAGCCCACAGUGACAGGAAACACCAAGACUCUGUACAAAAACCUUUGGAGCAAAGACAACAGAAUACUCCACAACGUCCACUAGAGGGAGUCACACACUGUUGAGCUUCAGUGGUUUGUGAUGAUACAGUCUAGAAUCACUUUACUCUCAGACAAGAUUGAGAUGGAAAGCUUUACAAAUCAAAUCACUCACAACUUGUUAACUCUGAACAUUUAAUUACAUUUCACCUGAGUAACCAU